UGCGGAGGGAUCAUUACAGAGUUGCAAAACUCCCUAAACCAUUGUGAACGUUACCUAUACCGUUGCUUCGGCGGGCGGCCCCGGGGUUUACCCCCCGGGCGCCCCUGGGCCCCACCGCGGGCGCCCGCCGGAGGUCACCAAACUCUUGAUAAUUUAUGGCCUCUCUGAGUCUUCUGUACUGAAUAAGUCAAAACUUUCAACAACGGAUCUCUUGGUUCUGGCAUCGAUGAAGAACGCAGCGAAAUGCGAUAAGUAAUGUGAAUUCCAGAAUUCAGUGAAUCAUCGAAUAUUUGAACGCACAUUGCGCCCGCCAGCAUUCUGGCGGGCAUGCCUGUUCGAGCGUCAUUUCAACCAUCAAGCCCCCGGGCUUGUGUUGGGGACCUGCGGCUGCCGCAGGCCCUGAAAAGCAGUGGCGGGCUCGCUGUCGCACCGAGCGUAGUAGCAUACAUCUCGCUCUGGUCGCGCCGCGGGUUCCGGCCGUUAAACCACCUUUUAACCCAAGGUGACCUCGGAUCAGGUAGA
rnacentral:rRNA from 1 species